UUGAACGCUGGCGGCAGGCCUAACACAUGCAAGUCGAGCGGUAGCACAGAGAGCUUGCUCUCGGGUGACGAGCGGCGGACGGGUGAGUAAUGUCUGGGAAACUGCCUGAUGGAGGGGGAUAACUACUGGAAACGGUAGCUAAUACCGCAUAAUGUCGCAAGACCAAAGUGGGGGACCUUCGGGCCUCAUGCCAUCAGAUGUGCCCAGAUGGGAUUAGCUAGUAGGUGGGGUAACGGCUCACCUAGGCGACGAUCCCUAGCUGGUCUGAGAGGAUGACCAGCCACACUGGAACUGAGACACGGUCCAGACUCCUACGGGAGGCAGCAGUGGGGAAUAUUGCACAAUGGGCGCAAGCCUGAUGCAGCCAUGCCGCGUGUGUGAAGAAGGCCUUCGGGUUGUAAAGCACUUUCAGCGGGGAGGAAGGCGUUAAGGUUAAUAACCUUGGCGAUUGACGUUACCCGCAGAAGAAGCACCGGCUAACUCCGUGCCAGCAGCCGCGGUAAUACGGAGGGUGCAAGCGUUAAUCGGAAUUACUGGGCGUAAAGCGCACGCAGGCGGUCUGUCAAGUCGGAUGUGAAAUCCCCGGGCUCAACCUGGGAACUGCAUUCGAAACUGGCAGGCUAGAGUCUUGUAGAGGGGGGUAGAAUUCCAGGUGUAGCGGUGAAAUGCGUAGAGAUCUGGAGGAAUACCGGUGGCGAAGGCGGCCCCCUGGACAAAGACUGACGCUCAGGUGCGAAAGCGUGGGGAGCAAACAGGAUUAGAUACCCUGGUAGUCCACGCCGUAAACGAUGUCGAUUUGGAGGUUGUGCCCUUGAGGCGUGGCUUCCGGAGCUAACGCGUUAAAUCGACCGCCUGGGGAGUACGGCCGCAAGGUUAAAACUCAAAUGAAUUGACGGGGGCCCGCACAAGCGGUGGAGCAUGUGGUUUAAUUCGAUGCAACGCGAAGAACCUUACCUGGUCUUGACAUCCACAGAACUUAGCAGAGAUGCUUUGGUGCCUUCGGGAACUGUGAGACAGGUGCUGCAUGGCUGUCGUCAGCUCGUGUUGUGAAAUGUUGGGUUAAGUCCCGCAACGAGCGCAACCCUUAUCCUUUGUUGCCAGCGGUCCGGCCGGGAACUCAAAGGAGACUGCCAGUGAUAAACUGGAGGAAGGUGGGGAUGACGUCAAGUCAUCAUGGCCCUUACGACCAGGGCUACACACGUGCUACAAUGGCAUAUACAAAGAGAAGCGACCUCGCGAGAGCAAGCGGACCUCAUAAAGUAUGUCGUAGUCCGGAUUGGAGUCUGCAACUCGACUCCAUGAAGUCGGAAUCGCUAGUAAUCGUAGAUCAGAAUGCUACGGUGAAUACGUUCCCGGGCCUUGUACACACCGCCCGUCACACCAUGGGAGUGGGUUGCAAAAGAAGUAGGUAGCUUAACCUUCGGGAGGGCGCUUACCACUUUGUGAUUCAUGACUGGGGUG
rnacentral:rRNA from 1 species